CCGGCUGGGGCCGCGGACGCGGGGCGGCCGCGCCGAUGCACCCGGUGCCCGGGGUCGAUCCCGGUUCCAGCACCGAGCAGCUGGGC
rnacentral:tRNA from 1 species